GGACUUUAUUUGCGCAGCAUAGGUGGGAGGCAUUGAGUUUAUUCUUGCGGGAAUUUAGGAGCCAUCAGUGAGAUACCACUCUGGUAAUGUUAGAUUUCUAACUUUGUAUCAUGAUCUGGUCAAAGAACAGUUUCAGGCGGGCAGUUUGACUGGGGCGGUCGCCUCCCAAAUGGUAACGGAGGCGUACAAAGGUUUCUUCUGAACGUGUAGAAAUCGUAUCUAGAGUGUAUAGGCAUAAGGAAGCUUGACUGUGAGACCUACAAGUCGAGCAGGGACGAAAGUCGGUCUUAGUGAUCUGACGGUGCUGAGUGGAAAGGCCGUCACUCAACGGAUAAAAGUUACUCCAGGGAUAACAGGCUGAA
rnacentral:rRNA from 1 species